rnacentral:rRNA from 1 species
GACGAACGCUGGCGGCGUGCUUAACACAUGCAAGUCGAACGGAAAGGCCCUGCUUUUGUGGGGUGCUCGAGUGGCGAACGGGUGAGUAACACGUGAGUAACCUGCCCUUGACUUUGGGAUAACUUCAGGAAACUGGGGCUAAUACCGGAUAGGAGCUCCUGCUGCAUGGUGGGGGUUGGAAAGUUUCGGCGGUUGGGGAUGGACUCGCGGCUUAUCAGCUUGUUGGUGGGGUAGUGGCUUACCAAGGCUUUGACGGGUAGCCGGCCUGAGAGGGUGACCGGCCACAUUGGGACUGAGAGACGGACCAGACUCCUACGGGAGGCAGCAGUGGGGAGUAUUGCGCAAUGGGCGGAAGCCUGAUGCAGCAACGCCGCGUGCGGGAUGACGGCCUUCGGGUUGUAAACCGCUUUCGCCUGUGACGAAGCGUGAGUGACGGUAAUGGGUAAAGAAGCACCGGCUAACUACGUG